ACCUGGAUGGCUCAGUCGAAGAGCAUGUGACUCUUGAUCUUAGGUUUGUGAGUUUGAGCCCCACGUUGGGUA
rnacentral:tRNA from 1 species